rnacentral:lncRNA from 10 species
AAAAAAAAAAAAAAAAAAAAACGCAAUGAUUAGAAAUGUAUCCCUCAUAAUAGGCUCUAUUGCAGACUCUACUAUAAAGGCUGUGGUUACACGACAGACUUUAAAUUCUCCUUUGAAAUAAAAUUGCUCUAGAUUAUAAACUGGCUAAACAGAGAAGUAUCUGAGGAACUGCCAGCACUUGUGGCCUAUGGAGAAAUAUAUCAAAUGUAGAUUAUAGAUAUUCAGGUACAGAAGAUUAACAAAAAGACAGCUGAGUUAAUUGAGUGGCCCCUUAUCUAGUUCACUCUUUACUUAACUUUAGGUGGUUUGGUUUAUGGGGACCCUGGGUGAGAAGCAUAUACCAAAUUCUUGGUAUUAUUCUCCUAAUAGUCAUAAUAGAUUUCCUAGCUGACAGACAUGUGUGACCAUGAGGACACCAUAACCUAUGAAUGACAUGCUGAGACUCGAAACCCAAAAUGGUGGUAAGUGAAAGUGGUGUUAAGGCC